CCCUUAGAUGUUCUGGGCCGCACGCGCGCUACACUGAUGCAUUCAACGAGCACCCGCUGGGCCGAGAGGUCCGGCUAAUCUUUGAACGUGCAUCGUGCUGGGGAUAGAUGAUUGCAAUUAUUCAUCUUCAACGAGGAAUUCCUAGUAAACGCAAGUCAUCAGCUUGCAUUGAUUACGUCCCUGCCCUUUGUACACACCGCCCGUCGCACCUACCGAUUGAAUGGUCCGGUGAAACUCUCGGACGCGGACUUGCGAUGUUAAUUCGGAGCUUGACUGUGAAAGUUAAUUAAACCUUACCAUUUAGAGGAAGGUGAAGUCGUAACA
rnacentral:rRNA from 1 species